UUGGGAAUCUUGGACAAUGGGGGAAACCCUGAUCCAGCCAUGCCGCGUGAGUGAUGAAGGCCUUAGGGUUGUAAAGCUCUUUCGCACGCGACGAUCAUGACGGUAGCGUGAGAAGAAGCCCCGGCUAACUUCGUGCCUGCAGCCGCGGUAAUACGAAGGGGGCUAGCGUUGUUCGGAAUUACUGGGCGUAAAGCGCGCGCAGGCGGGGCAUCAAGUCAGAGGUGAAAGCCCGGAGCUUAACUCCGGAAUAGCCUUUGAAACUGUUGAUCUUGAGUACGGGAGAGGUGAGUGGAAUUCCCAGUGUAGAGGUGAAAUUCGUAGAUAUUGGGAAGAACACCAGUGGCGAAGGCGGCUCACUGGCCCGUUACUGACGCUCAGGCGCGAUAGCGUGGGGAUCAAACA
rnacentral:rRNA from 1 species